AAGACACAUUAUUCUCGGAUAAAGCAUCCGAGUGAGCGAAACAGCUCUCUCAGUAUGUGUAGACCAUGUACCUGAUGCUGUCUGGACCAAAAGAGUAUGGUUUGUCAUACUAUUUCUGGCCAGACAGCAUCAGAGACAUGGGCUACAUAUAGUAAGACAGAGGGAUGCUGUUUCGCUCACUCGGAUGUUCUGUCCGGUGAGAGAGUUUCAGCAGAGAGGAAGAGGCGAAAAGCGAGAGGGCUCACUCUCGCCAAAAUCUGUCCAUAAUAAGCCCAAUGCGUUUCUAUAGGCAUAAUAUGCAGACCUAAGCUUGACGCCUGCCUUCCUGACCUUUGGGACAAUGACUCCCAUUAUUAGGGUGGAAACAUGAGCAUCUCGUCAUCGCAUACAGUUCUCUGGUUUCAGCCUCUUGCAAAUUGGAAAGGAAAGUUGGUAUACUACAGAUGCUGGGUGUCCCUCUGAGGCGUGUGCGGCUAGUUGCUGGGUCAUGAGAACUGUUGCUAUGGAAAAAGACAUGGCUGACCAAGACCAGACGGAGAGCACACAUUACACCUGUUUUAAGGUCUCUGCACCGGCUGACUUCUUGGACCAAGAGAUUAUGCCCCCAGCAUCUGGAAUAGCCUGCCAAAGAACCUGAGGGGGGCCGAAACUGUGGCCAAAUAUUUAAAAAAGAUACUAAAACAUAUUUUUACUAAAACAUACUUUUCCUUUGGCUGCUGUUUGUCAUUCUUUCGUUUUUUUAAUCUUGUGUUUGUUGUGUCGAAAAUUUUUCAGCUUUUAUUUUCCUUGUUUUUUUGUGUUUUUUCCCCCCUGUAAAGCACAUUGCAUUGCAUCCCAUGUCUUAAAUGUGCUGUAUAAAUAAAUCUGGAUUUGAUUUGAA